UACAGAGGGUGCGAGCGUUAAUCGGAAUUACUGGGCGUAAAGCGCGUGUAGGCGGCUUUGCAAGUCGGGUGUGAAAGCCCUCAGCUCAACUGAGGAAGUGCGCCCGAAACUGCAGAGCUUGAGUACCGGAGAGGGUGGCGGAAUUCCCCAAGUAGAGGUGAAAUUCGUAGAUAUGGGGAGGAACACCGGUGGCGAAGGCGGCCACCUGGACGGUCACUGACGCUGAGACGCGAAAGCGUGGGGAGCAAACAGG
rnacentral:rRNA from 1 species